rnacentral:rRNA from 1 species
UACGUAGGGGGCAAGCGUUGUCCGGAUUUAUUGGGCGUAAAGAGCGUGUAGGCGGCCUGGUAGGUCAGCUGUGAAAACUCGAGGCUCAACCUCGAGACGUCGGUUGAAACCACCUGGCUAGAGUCCGGAAGAGGAGAGUGGAAUUCCCGGUGUAGCGGUGAAAUGCGCAGAUAUCGGGAAGAACACCCGUGGCGAAGGCAGGUCUCUGGGCAUUAACUGACGCUGAGGAGCGAAAGCAUGGGGAGCGAACAGG